rnacentral:rRNA from 2 species
AAACCUGCCCAGAAGCGGGGGAUAACACCUGGAAACAGAUGCUAAUACCGCAUAACAACUUGGACCGCAUGGUCCGAGCUUGAAAGAUGGCUUCGGCUAUCACUUUUGGAUGGUCCCGCGGCGUAUUAGCUAGAUGGUGGGGUAACGGCUCACCAUGGCAAUGAUACGUAGCCGACCUGAGAGGGUAAUCGGCCACAUUGGGACUGAGACACGGCCCAAACUCCUACGGGAGGCAGCAGUAGGGAAUCUUCCACAAUGGACGAAAGUCUGAUGGAGCAACGCCGCGUGAGUGAAGAAGGGUUUCGGCUCGUAAAACUCUGUUGUUAAAGAAGAACAUAUCUGAGAGUAACUGUUCAGGUAUUGACGGUAUUUAACCAGAAAGCCACGGCUAACUACGUGCCAGCAGCCGCGGUAAUACGUAGGUGGCAAGCGUUGUCCGGAUUUAUUGGGCGUAAAGCGAGCGCAGGCGGUUUUUUAAGUCUGAUGUGAAAGCCUUCGGCUCAACCGAAGAAGUGCAUCGGAAACUGGGAAACUUGAGUGCAGAAGAGGACAGUGGAACUCCAUGUGUAGCGGUGAAAUGCGUAGAUAUAUGGAAGAACACCAGUGGCGAAGGCGGCUGUCUGGUCUGUAACUGACGCUGAGGCUCGAAAGUAUGGGUAGCAAACAGGAUUAGAUACCCUGGUAGUCCAUACCGUAAACGAUGAAUGCUAAGUGUUGGAGGGUUUCCGCCCUUCAGUGCUGCAGCUAACGCAUUAAGCAUUCCGCCUGGGGAGUACGGCCGCAAGGCUGAAACUCAAAGGAAUUGACGGGGGCCCGCACAAGCGGUGGAGCAUGUGGUUUAAUUCGAAGCUACGCGAAGAACCUUACCAGGUCUUGACAUACUAUGCAAAUCUAAGAGAUUAGACGUUCCCUUCGGGGACAUGGAUACAGGUGGUGCAUGGUUGUCGUCAGCUCGUGUCGUGAGAUGUUGGGUUAAGUCCCGCAACGAGCGCAACCCUUAUUAUCAGUUGCCAGCAUUAAGUUGGGCACUCUGGUGAGACUGCCGGUGACAAACCGGAGGAAGGUGGGGAUGACGUCAAAUCAUCAUGCCCCUUAUGACCUGGGCUACACACGUGCUACAAUGGAUGGUACAACGAGUUGCGAACUCGCGAGAGUAAGCUAAUCUCUUAAAGCCAUUCUCAGUUCGGAUUGUAGGCUGCAACUCGCCUACAUGAAGUCGGAAUCGCUAGUAAUCGCGGAUCAGCAUGCCGCGGUGAAUACGUUCCCGGGCCUUGUACACACCGCCCGUCACACCAUGAGAGUUUGUAACACCCAAAGUCGGUGGGGU